rnacentral:rRNA from 1 species
AACCAGCACCUCGAGUGGUCAGGAGGUUUAUUGGGCCUAAAGCAUCCGUAGCCGGUUGCAUAAGUUUUCGGUUAAAUCUAUGCGCUUAACGUAUAGGCCGCCGAAAAUACUGUGCAGCUAGGGAGUGGGAGAGGUACACGGUACUCGAUAGGAAGGGGUAAAAUCCUUUGAUCUAUUGAUGACCACCUGUGGCGAAGGCGGUGUACCAGAACACGUUCGACGGUGAGGGAUGAAAGCUGGGGGAGCAAACCGGAUUAGAUACCCGGGUAGUCCCAGCUGUAAACGAUGCAGACUCGGUGAUGCAUUGGCUUGUGGCCAAUGCAGUGCCGCAGGGAAGCCGUUAAGUCUGCCGCCUGGGAAGUACGUACGCAAGUAUG